rnacentral:rRNA from 1 species
UACAGAGGUCCCAAGCGUUGUUCGGAAUUACUGGGCGUAAAGCGCACGCAGGCGGUCUUUUAAGUUUGACGUGAAAGCUCCCGGCUUAACUGGGAGAGGUCGUUGAAGACUGGAAGACUUGAGGCAAUGAGAGGGGUGUAGAAUUCCCGGUGUAGUGGUGGAAUGCGUAGAUAUCGGGGGGAAUACCAGUGGCGAAAGCGGCACCCUAGCGUUAGCCUGACGCUCAUGUGCGAAAGCGUGGGGAGCGAACGGG